GAUGAACGCUGGCGGCGUGCCUAAUACAUGCAAGUCGAGCGAAGCGGGGACGGGUGAGUAACACGUGGAUAACCUCCUAUAAGACUGGGAUAACUUCGGGAAACCGGAGCUAAACCGGAUACUUACAGAUGGAUCCGCGCUGCAUUAGCUAGUUGGUAAGGUAACGGCUUACCAAGGCAACGAUGCAUAGCCGACCUGAGAGGGUGAUCGGCCACAAUGGAACUGAGACACAGUCCAGACUCCUACGGGAGGCAGCAGUGGGGAAUCUUCCGCAAUGGGCGGAAGCCUGACGGAGCGACGCCGCGUGGGUGAAGAAGGUCUUCGGAUCGUAAAGCUCUGUUAGUAGGGAGGCGAUACCUAAUCAAGAGGCCACGGCUAACUACGUGCCAGCAGCCGCGGUAAUAC
rnacentral:rRNA from 1 species